rnacentral:rRNA from 1 species
AUUGAACGCUGGCGGCAGGCUUAACACAUGCAAGUCGAGCGGAGUGAUGGUGCUUGCACUAUCACUUAGCGGCGGACGGGUGAGUAAUGCUUAGGAAUCUCCCAUUUAGUGGGGGACAACAUUCCGAAAGGAAUGCUAAUACCGCAUACGUCCUACGGGAGAAAGCAGGGGAUCCUCGGACCUUGCGCUAAAUGAUGAGCCUAAGUCGGAUUAGCUAGUUGGUGGGGUAAAGGCCUACCAAGGCGACGAUCUGUAGCGGGUCUGAGAGGAUGAUCCGCCACACUGGGACUGAGACACGGCCCAGACUCCUACGGGAGGCAGCAGUGGGGAAUAUUGGACAAUAGGCGGAAGCCUGAUCCAGCCAUGCCGCGUGUGUGAAGAAGGCCUUUUGGUUGUAAAGCACUUUAAGCGAGGAGGAGGCUCUUCUAGUUAAUACCUAGGAUGAGUGGACGUUACUCGCAGAAUAAGCACCGGCUAACUCUGUGCAGCCGCCGCGGUAACAC